GGUUUAGGAUUUGGGGUUUAUGGUUUAGAGUUUAGGGUUUAGGGUUUAGGGUUUAGAGUUUAGGAUUUACGGUUUAGGGUUUAGAGUUUAGGGUUUAGGGUUUAGAGUUUAGGAUUUAGAGUUUAUGGUUUAGGGUUUAGAGUUGAGAAAUGGGGUUUUGGGGAUAAGAUUUCAAAUUUUGAAAAAUAAAAAAAUUAAAAUUUUCAAAAGAUAAAAUGCUAUUUUGGUCGUUUUAGUUUUUGAGUGCUAUUUUUGUGAUAUAAACUUAGAAAUGUGCUAUUUUGGAGAUUUGCCCAAGAACGUAUUGCUUUCAACCCUCUUGUGCAAUUGCAAACACGGAAGCUCCUGAACUUUCUGGCCAGGCAUAUCUUCCAACUUACUAAUUGCCCAAAUUGAGCUGCAGCGAGAUGAGCGUAUCGUACUAGAGCCACUGAGUACAAACACGCAAAAAGAGGACACACUGAAUAUUGAGCGGUGUGUGUCUUUAGAUAGUAAAGACUAAACAUGAAGGAAGAGGAGUUUGCAUUUUAUAAUAGAAGUGUUACCAAUUGAGGUUGCAGUUGUGCUCUGUUGGUUACUGAACCGAUGAUUAAGGAAGAUAAGAUCUUAGUAAUAGUUCUAAGUAUUUGUUUUUGUAAGUGAAAUUGUGGAUUAUUGAGUAGAGAGGACUUACACAUAGGAGAGAGAGUAGAUAUACAUUAUAUUGAGCCGGUCUUGAAGUUCCCUUAGAGAUCACCAAAGGAAGCAUAGAAGUAGAGUGAAAUUUAUCCUCAAGAGUACGUGAACCAAUGACCUCUGAACUUACUAUAAUUCCUGCAUGAGCACACAUGUAGAUUGUAGAACCAUGUCAAACCAUAAAAAAGAGUAAAAGCCCCCCUGCCUAUCUAUCCACAAGAGUUAAUAUAGUGACGAAAGGAAACAUUUGCAGACAAAUUACCUUGUUGUUAAAGUUCCACCGACCGCUGCGAGGUAAAAUAUCCGUGUUCUUUCCAAACCACAGAUUCUUUCGUUUCAAAGAUUCACACCGUCUUUCCUUUCAAGAUCUCUAUGCCAUGUUGCACAUAUUCUUUAGAGAGUGGGUGAGAGAUUUUGCGAACUAGGCUUCGUUUCAAGCCCAUUUAAUUCAGGUUAAAAGCCUAUUAAAUCUGUCUCGGGGUUUUCCAUUAAAGCUGAAUUAAAAACGAGACUGAUAUAAUAUUUUAAUAAAACAGAUAGAUUCAUAAAUUCAUGAAAAAUCUUGCUGGUCCAGUGGUUUAAUCGCUGCUGAGUAUGUCAUUUUGCAAAUGUUGAAGGGUCCUUGAAGUGUUCUUUUCUUUAUAAAAAUCUAUGUAUUAUAUAUAGU
rnacentral:lncRNA from 1 species